UUCCGUAGGCAAUCACCAUGGUCUUGUAGCGGAUGCGAGCUUCAACUGGAAGCCAGUGGAGAGAGCGGAGGAGCGGGGUGACGUGAGAGAAAUAACACUCCACGAUACUAGCCUAAAUGACAGAGUGAAAAGAAGGAAGCCUGUACAGAAUAAAAAUAUUCUAAAACAUGGAUCCUAUUUGCAAUUGAGUACCACAGUAUGAGUCAUACGCAUAAAACCUAGCGGUAAAACCCGGAAAUGGUACCAGUCGUUUUUCCACCAUUCAUUUUCCGUAGGGGAUUUUAGAACUAAAUCAUAUAAGGUCUGUGUUCCGUGUAGGCUUACCCUAGCGUGACAUUUUGAUAACCGCAAAAAUCUGUCUCGGACAAGAUAACUUUUAUCAAUAUAUAUGCCUGUAAUUACCCCCCAAAAAUGAUGGCUAUCAUACAGACCUACACAUGUUGUCGCAAGCUUUGACGUCAUCACUCAAGGCAGUGUUGGUAAAAACUCAAUUUCUUGACGCAAAAGUAGAUAUUAUAGCAUUUUUGUAGUUUCUCAUUUAAAUGAUUGAAAUUGUAUUUCUCAUGUGUAUUGUUGUUUGGCAUCUUUCCAAUUAGCUACCUUAGCAUUUUUUAUUACUAUAAUUUUGGGAAUUACACUGGCCUUUGUAGCUAACUAACUAACGAACCUUAGGUCAGUCCGUCGAGCAGAAGCAAGGAUGAUUCCGUACUAUGUACUGGAUUCUAACCACUACUCCGAUAUUAUCGUUUUCCGACCUCUGUAAUCGGGAUGCAUCAUUGGAGCCAUGUGUUAAGACUGGUGGACCGGAAGUCCAGUGACAACACUCGGAUCUGCAGCUGCCAUUUUCCGGUAGGGAAGAGAAAUGGCCCUGUAUUUACCAGAAAAGGUCGCUCAUCCACCAUGGCAGAAGAGGUAGAUCCAGACACAUUCACCAUGGCAGAAUAAAAAUAAAUUAAAUUGUUACAAAUUUAACUAGGCAAGACCGUUAAGAACAAAUUCUUCUUUACAAUGACGGACUACACUGGCCAAACUCGGACGAUGCUGGGCCAAUUGUGCGCCGCCGUAUGGGACUCGGCCGGUUGUGCUACAGCCUGUAAUCGAACCAGGGUGUCUGUAGUGACAGUUGAACUGUUAGCACAGUUGAAGGUUCUACAGGAGAAUCAGCUGUAUACCCACAAGAGGUGUUCAGCAUCACAGCUAGUAUUUAGGAUGGAAACAGGAUUUUCAGACAACUUGGAAGGACUGCGUUCCCUACUUUGCCAAGUGGAGGGUUGAGAUGCUUGAGCAUCAAGUGUUCAUGGCACUUAUGAAGUUGCGUCACAGCUACGCCAACUUGCACCUGGCUCAACUAUUCCGUUGUAGUGCAAGCACUGUCAGCAAUGUUACCAUCACUUUGAUUCACGUGAUCCAUAAGCUUAGUUUCAUUACCAUCAUGAAGAUUGUUCUAAGUCGGAAGAAGAACCAAACGUGCUUGCCUGCGUCUUUUCAGGGGUCCAGCAGAAACUGCAUGAUGAUCAUGGACUGUAAUGACAUAGAAGUUGCUACUCCAAGUCUGCAGAAGAAAACCUACUGUUCAAUGCACUCCUUCAAGCUACUCCUGGGAGUUGCACCUAAUGCGGUGAUAACAUACUGCAGUGAUCUGUAUCAAGGAUCUCCGUACAAAGCCAUUGUCCAGAAGUUGGGGUUUGAGAUAAUCUCCACCUCUGGAGACAUGAUGUUGGCAUACAAAGGCUUGUUGUUCCAGAGCUUGAUGCCUGCCGGAGUCACUGUGAAUAUUCUUCCAUUCCUGAAACACAGAAGGUUCACAGAGAGUGAGAUGCAUCCCAUGAAAGACAUUGCGAGAUAAAAGAUCCAUGUUGAGAGGGUAAAUGCUCGACUAAAAGAUGAAAAAAAAAAACCUGAGAUUCAUCCCACCUCAUCUGUGUUAAUAUAGUAAUGUGCUGGUUCAGACUUGCUGUGCACUUGUACAUCUCCAAGACCCACUCAUCAGAGAAGUAGCUGUUAAUUGGGAAACAAGAACAAACAAUGAGGAUUGAGUGUUGAGGGACCACUUGUCACAUUGUCCAAGGCCCCCCCCGUCUUCCCCGUCUCAUCGAUGGCCAACCGGCGUUCACGGUGAGGCGCCUCCUGAAGAUUCAACCGUGGGCAGGGGAUUCCAGUACCUGGUUGACUGGCAGGGUUAUGGACAUCCUGGACCCAGGCCUCAUCGCUGAGUUCCAACGCUGGCACCCUGGU